rnacentral:miRNA from 1 species
CCCAAGUCUUAUCUGUCUCAGGUUC